GAGUUUGAUCUUGGCUCAGAUUGAACGCUGGCGGCAGGCCUAACACAUGCAAGUCGAGCGGUAGAGAGAAGCUUGCUUCUCUUGAGAGCGGCGGACGGGUGAGUAAUGCCUAGGAAUCUGCCUAGUAGUGGGGGAUAACGCUCGGAAACGGACGCUAAUACCGCAUACGUCCUACGGGAGAAAGCAGGGGACCUUCGGGGCCUUGCGCUAUCAGAUGAGCCUAGGUCCGGAUUAGCUAGUUGGUGAGGUAAUGGCUCACCCAAGGCGACGAUCCGUAACUGGUCUGAGAGGAUGAUCAGUCACACUGGAACUGAGACACGGUCCAGACUCUACGGGAGGCAGCAGUGGGGAAUAUUGGACAAUGGGCGAAAGCCUGAUCCAGCCAUGCCGCGUGUGUGAAGAAGGUCUUCGGAUUGUAAAGCACUUUAAGUUGGGAGGAAGGGCAGUAAAUUAAUACUUUGCUGUUUUGACGUUUACCGACAGAAUAAGCACCGGCUAACUCUGUGCCAGCAC
rnacentral:rRNA from 1 species